GUCUUUGGACUUGAAACCAAAAUGAGGAUGGCUAAAGCUAUUCUUCAUUUUUCAGGAAGUAGUACCACAGCUGAAGUUAGCAGUUGGAACCAGAAAGAAAGUCCACUAUCUCAUGUUCAAUGGGAAUAGAGCAGAGAGUGAUAUGCUGUGACUAUGAGAUGAGUGGGAUGCCAUCAAGUAAUGGAAAUGGAAGGCCAGCAGAGAGCAAUGCCAAGCAGAAAACUAUACAUUCAGCUGACCUGGCUUCCCAACCAGAUCUGUGCUGUGUGUUUAUAAUAUUCUAAGGUUCUUGAAGUCAUCAGUGAUUCAUUCAGCUGAAAUGAGUGGGCCACCAUCAAAGGAAUAAAUGGAUCAAAUGUAGCA
rnacentral:lncRNA from 1 species